GAUGAACGCUGGCGGCGUGCCUAAUACAUGCAAGUCGAGCGAACAGACGAGGAGCUUGCUCCUCUGACGUUAGCGGCGGACGGGUGAGUAACACGUGGAUAACCUACCUAUAAGACUGGGAUAACUUCGGGAAACCGGAGCUAAUACCGGAUAAUAUAUUGAACCGCAUGGUUCAAUAGUGAAAGACGGUUUUGCUGUCACUUAUAGAUGGAUCCGCGCCGCAUUAGCUAGUUGGUAAGGUAACGGCUUACCAAGGCGACGGUGCGUAGCCGACCUGAGAGGGUGAUAGGCCACACUGGAACUGAGACACGGUCCAGACUCCUACGGGAGGGAGCAGUAGGGAAUCUUCCGCAAUGGGCGAAAGCCUGACGGAGCAACGCCGCGUGAGUGAUGAAGGUCUUCGGAUCGUAAAACUCUGUUAGUAGGGAAGAACAAAUGUGUAAGUAACUAUGCACGUCUUGACGGUACCUAAUCAGAAAGCCACGGCUAACUACGUG
rnacentral:rRNA from 1 species